rnacentral:rRNA from 1 species
UACGGAGGGGGCUAGCGUUGUUCGGAAUUACUGGGCGUAAAGCGCGUGUAGGCGGUUUUGCAAGUCGGGUGUGAAAGCCCUCAGCUCAACUGAGGAAGUGCGCCCGAAACUGCAGAUCUUGAGUACCGGAGAGGGUGGCGGAAUUCCCCAAGUAGAGGUGAAAUUCGUAGAUAUGGGGAGGAACACCGGUGGCGAAGGCGGCCAACUGGACGGAUACUGACGCUGAGACGCGAAAGCGUGGGUAGCAAACAGG